GAUCAGUCAUUCUGAUUACCAAAUUCAAGCAUGCAAAAUUGGUAAGGAGGGACCUUGGAUGCAGAAAACCUCAGUGAGCUGCCUGGGGACCAGGAUCCUCCGGCCCUGUCUCCCCCGCCUCCCGCUGCCACUGCAGUAGGGGCCUUGGACUCGGGAAGAGAGACAAUUUUAUAGGCUGCGGCAAAAUAUAUUAUGUGAAUUAUCAUCCCUUGCUUAUGGUGUGUGCUUCUCUGUAUUCAAUUCCCUCGAAACAUUUCAUGAGGUGAAAAUACCUGUUUACAGAAGUUGUGGAAACCCGCACUGCUCCAAAGGUAAACACACAACCUUGCGCACAUUCUAGUCUCUGUCAUUUAGUAAACAUUUGUAACCACCUGCUACUC
rnacentral:lncRNA from 1 species